rnacentral:rRNA from 1 species
AACGAACGCUGGCGGCAGGCCUAACACAUGCAAGUCGAGCGCCCUUUCGGGGGAGCGGCGGACGGGUGAGUAACGCGUGGGAAUAUGCCCUUCUCUACGGAAUAGCCUCGGGAAACUGAGAGUAAUACCGUAUACGCCCUGUGGGGGAAAGAUUUAUCGGGGAAGGAUUAGCCCGCGUUGGAUUAGGUAGUUGGUGGGGUAAUGGCCUACCAAGCCGACGAUCCAUAGCUGGUUUGAGAGGAUGAUCAGCCACACUGGGACUGAGACACGGCCCAGACUCCUACGGGAGGCAGCAGGGGGGAAUCUUAGACAAUGGGGGCAACCCUGAUCUAGCCAUGCCGCGUGAGUGAUGAAGGCCUUAGGGUUGUAAAGCUCUUUCAGCUGGGAAGAUAAUGACGGUACCAGCAGAAGAAGCCCCGGCUAACUCCGU